rnacentral:rRNA from 1 species
CCUACGGGUGGCAGCAGUGAGGAAUAUUGGUCAAUGGCCGCAGGGCUGAACCAGCCAAGUCGCGUGAGGGAUGACGGUCCUAUGGAUUGUAAACCUCUUUUGUCAGGGAGCAAAGGGCGCCACGUGCGGGCUUUUGCGAGUACCUGAAGAAAAAGCAUCGGCUAACCCCGUGCCAGCAGCCGCGGUAAUACGGAGGAUGCGAGCGUUAUCCGGAUUUAUUGGGUUAAAGGGGUGCGCAGGCGGUUUGUGAAGCCAGCGGUCAAAGCCCGGGGCUCAACCCCGGCCCGCCGUUGAAACUGGGGGUCUCGAGUGGGAGAGAAGUAUGCGGAAUGCGCGGUGUAGCGGUGAAAUGCAUAGAUAUCGCGCAGAACUCCGAUUGCGAAGGCAGCAUGCCGGCUCAAAACUGACGCUGAGGCACGAAAGCGUGGGUAUCGAACAGGAUUAGAUACCCUAGUAGUC